GAUGAACGCUAGCGGCAGGCCUAAUACAUGCAAGACGAACGGUAAGUUGAGUAGCAAUACUUAGCCAAGAGUGUCGUACGGGUGCGUAACACGUAUGCAACCUACCCUAUACAGGAGGAUAGCCUAGGGAAACCUGGAUUAACCCUUCAUAGUAUUAUUGGAUGGCAUCAUUUGAUAAUUAAAACUGAGGUGGUAUAGGAUGGGCAUGCGUCUGAUUAGUUAGUUGGCGGGGUAAUGGCCCACCAAGACGAUGAUCAGUAGGGGUUCUGAGAGGAAGAUCCCCCACACUGGCACUGAGAUACGGGCCAGACUCCUACGGGAGCAGCAGUAGGGAAUAUUGGUCAAUGGAUGCAAGUCUGAACCAGCCAUGCCGCGUGCAGGAAGAAGGCCUUUCUGGGGUUGUAAACUGCUUUUGCCAGGGGAUAAAAUUUCCAUGCGUGGAAAACUGAAGGUACCUGGUGAAUAAGCCACGGCUAACUACGUGCCAGCAGCCG
rnacentral:rRNA from 1 species